rnacentral:lncRNA from 1 species
UUGUCUCCAGCUAGCAUGUACGUACCAACUGAGAUGCAUGCAUGCGUAUAUCAGCAUAUGCUUUAUUACUGCUCAGUUACCCUUGAAUCUAGCAGUGCUUUUGGUGAGAGGGUGCAGUUUACUUUAAACAUAUGGGUUUGUGACUGUAAAUAGUAUUUUUAACUAGGAGUUAUAUCUGGUAAGUAAAUUAAUUAAUGGGAGGAUGCAUGAAUAAAGCCGCUCUUGUGCUGCUGAUGCAUGAUAUAUUGGAUCAUGAGCCUCAUUUUUAAACCAAUGUUUCAGCGAUUUCAUAGAUAUAUGGAUCGAGGACCUGCACAUGCAUGGUUCAUAUUAUAAAAUAAAAUAAAAAUACUUAUAUUGCAUUGGUCUGCUGGGAUUUUGUGAUAUUUGGUGCCAUGCAUGUGGCUGUCUAGACAAUGGAGAAAUUUCCACAUGUUCGUAACUAGAUGUCGGAUGGUAGGGAGCUUAUAUAAUAUAUGAUCUAUGUUACUGUGUGCAUAUGAUGUGACAGUAGCAAUGUCAGUGUCAUCGAUUGGUUCCUUGUUCUCUUUUUGGUGGCUACCGCACAUGCAUGCGUAGUGUGUCUCCGCAAAGGGGAAAACUGGCAUGAUGACCGGAUGUGCUCUUCAUUCUUGUUAGGGUUUUCAUAGCCUUAGCAGCAUGGAACAGGACAGGGCCGUCUCAAGAAUUCCAAGGGCCCUUGGGCAAGCGAGUAAUAACGGCCUAGCAAACUAAUCUUUUACAAUCAACUUUCUUCAUUCUAAAUUAUAAAUUAUUCCAAGAAUAGAGUCAAAGUAUUUUCAAAUUUAACCAAAAUUAUAGAGAAAAAGUACUAAGAUUUAUAACAUAAUGAAAAUAUAAAAUAAAGAAGAAUCUAAUGAUACUUAAUUGUUAUCAUAAUAAUUAUUAUUUUAUCAUAUAAAUUUGGUCAAACUUUAGGAUAGUUUGACUCUCUAAGAUUCUUUGAAUGACUUAUAAUUUGGGAUGGAGGGAGUAAUUGGCAUGGCUCGGACUGCGGCAUCACCUCUGAGCCAUGGGAUCCUUACCGAUCACUUUUGGAGGAUGGUUUGUUUUCUGGUGAACACUAGAGGAGCUAGAGCCGUUUUUGAAACUGAAUGACAGGCUAUAAUUCGUGGCUUCUACCAAGUGCUCCGAAAGAGGUGUCAUUUCAAAUAAGACCUUAAUAUGAUAAUUAAAGUAUACAAUACUAGUAAUAAAAAAAUAACUUACAACAUAUAUUGGAAGCGAUUGGGAGUAGCUGAAUAUCAAAACAGGAAGUGAUGCAAGCUAAUUUCUGAUUAAUUACUUAUGAUAAAUGUAUGAAUCUUUAAAAUUUUAUUUCGUUGGUCAAAUAUAUUACUAUAUAAAUAUUAUAUACAUACAUAAACUUAUAGGCCCCCUCGUGGCAUGAGCCCGUGGCCGUCGCACCGGCUGCCCAUACCCCUAAGACGGCCCUAGAACAGGAACAUGACCUAUAUCCCUGUUCUUAUAUAUGUAUCUGUUCCACGUUCGAAAAUAUCUACGUCUCAGAAACAGAAAUGUUCUCGUUUCCUUUCCUGUUCUGGGAACAGGGGUAGGAUGGGAACAUGGCUGUUAAGUUCAUAGCACAUUGCUAUAACUACAAAGUUAAAAUCAGCUUGAUAAUAGUACUUGAUAAUUGAGGACACACUGUUUUCUUUCUUUUAAAACAUACAUUUUCUCUUAAAUAUACCGGAUCAAAAUGAGCCUGGCCUGACCUGGUCCGUGGGUGUGGCCCAAGCCUGGUCGGUUUUAGCCUGCCCUUGAACCUUAGGGCCUGUUUAGAUUGGGAACGAAAAUUUUUUGGGUGUCACAUCGGAUGUGUCGGAAGGAUGUCGGGAGGGGUUUUUAGAAACUAAUAAAAAAACAAAUUACAUAGCUCGUCAGGAAACUGCAAGACAAAUUUAUUAAGCAUAAUUAAUCUGUCAUUAGCAUAUGUGGGUUACUGUAGCACUUAAGGCUAAUCAUGGAGUAACUAGGCUUAAAAGAUUCGUCUCGCGAUUCUUAACUAAACUGUGUAAUUAGUUUAUUUUUUUAUCUACAUUUAAUGUUCCAUGCAUGUGUCCAAAGAUUCGAUGGGAUGGAUCAAAAAAAUUUUGGGUAGGGAACAGGGCCUUAUUGGACAGGGUCUAGAUAGAGACUCCGCUAUCCAAAAAAAUUUCUUAACCUGAGCCUGGUCCAAAAUACUUCUUUUGCUAUUUUAUGAUAUGAAAUGUGCACGCCUAGGCUUGGGCCCAUCCCAAAAAAUUAAACUGGACUUAUCCAAUGGGACGGUCAUGUGCGGGACUUUUUUGGCCCAAUAUAAUGGGGAUUUUUUUGUCUAGACUAGCCCGCAAUAUGGUUAGUUUAGGACUGUCUUAUAGAAAGAGAGAGGGGAGGUGACCGUGCGGCUUGCCCACGUUGGGACAUGAGACAACGACCGUUCCUAUGCGGUCGGUGCUUUCGGAUGAUGAUGAGUAUGAUGCGUGGCUGGGCUGGCACGGUGAUUUUCUUUUUUUAUUUCUAACCCUUUUUUAAACUAUUUUCUAAUUUGACAUUGAAUUUUUUUUCAAAACUAACCUAUUUGGCCGUGCCACCAUGCAUGGCGCGGUAUUAUAACACUACCGCGCCAUGCAUGGUGGCACGGCAGGGGCGGCCAUGUGGUGUCCCUCGAUGGCUGGUGGUGACGUGGCCUCCCCAAUCCGUUUGAACAACUAGAAUCUUUCUAUUGAACUAUCGUUCAACCAUGGAUGAAAAAUCAUAAAAUUUUUGAAAAACUUCAGAUUUAUAACGUAAAAGAUAAAUCCAUAUGAAUUUGCUAAAGUCAUCAAUAAAGCUAACAUAGUAGUUAUUUCUGCCAAUAGAGGUAAGCGCAGAGCCCCAUAUAUCUGAAAACACAAAUUCAAGAGGUCUAGAUGAGACACUGUUUGACACAUGAUAAGGCAAUUGAUGACUUUUGCCUUGUUGACAGGUAUCAUGCACUUGUUCUUUAUUGGACUCUUGAACAAAAGGCAUACGACUCUUGCUAAGGAUCUGUUGAACUACUGACAGUGACAGAUGACCAAGACGGCUAUGCCACCUAGACAUGGAGGGCUUGGCGGCGGCAUGCGUCUCUUUAUUGAAAGAAGACCUAAGCAUCUUCAGCGGACUAAGCCCUCCUUCCCAAUCUCCUCUAAGCAGAGUUUUCUUCAUGUCCAGAUCCUUGAUAAAAAACAAUCGGGAUGAUAUUCAAUAAAAACAUUGUUAUCCGAUGUAAGGCGAUGGACGGAGGCAAGGUUUUUGUUAGCUUGUGGAACAUAGAGAACAUUAUUAAGAAUAAGAUCUCGACAAGGGGUACGAACCAAACUACGACCGAUUUGACUGAUUCUCAUACCUGCGCCGCUGGCGGUGUGCACCAGGUCGGUGUCGUGAUACUUGUCACGGGUAGUGAGCUUCUCUAGCUCGCCAGUGAUGAGACCGGUUGCCCUGUGUCGGUGUACCUGUUCGUAUCUAUGCCGUAGGAGGUUGUAGUUGAUAACGCUUGACGCUGCUCGGUAGGUCCAGUGAAGGAGCUGUCAAAGCGCUUGUAGCACCACAGCACGGUGUGGCCUCCUUGCCGCAGAGCUGGCACGUGGGGCGGUCACCAUUGGAGUUCUAAGGGUGUGAAAGCCCAAGUUUGGUUUUGGUAAUUAAUGACACCAAGUUGCUAAUGCCUUAUGUUUAAGUGAUUUGAGUUAGGCAUAGCAACACAUGUGAUGAAGGUGCAAGGUAGCAUGGAAAGGUGGCCACACGAUUACAAAGAGAUGAAGCUUGAUGUGGAGAUCAUGAUGAUAAACAAGGAAGAAAGUGAUCAAGACAAAGGUAUAAACAUAGGGUUUUACUUUUGCUGGUCUUAGUUGAGUAGAGAAGUGAUUGACCGGAUUUAGGAUAGAUAGCCGACUAUCAAGAGGGGAAAUCACGGUCAUCUCUUGAAUCAAGUGCUACUAGGUCCAUAUCUUGAGCAUAUGCAUUAGGAUCUAGUAAAGUGCUAACCUAACUCCUUUGGCGAAAAUGUUUGUAAAAAGUUAACGCACAUGCACUUUGGUGGAGGACACUUGUUGGUGUUAGCACAUUUACAAAGGAGGUUGAGUUCCUAGGGUAGAGAGGGGUGUGGGUUCCUCUCUCCCUCCCGCCGAGCUUGCUCGGCGGGAUUCGGCGCUUUUGAGAAAAAUAAGUGUAUAUUUUCUAUUGCGCCGGUGGGAAAUUUGGAGAAGUCGCGGGAGUGUUUUACCGGACGCAGUGCGCGGAGGCACCGGACGCUGGCCUGAGCGUCCGGUGUGCUGUCAGUGCUUGGCCUGUUAGGGUUGAGCACCGGACGCACUGCACCGGACGCAGGGUGUUCCCUGUUCUUGCGUCCGAUGUGACCUGACUUAGCAGAGGGUGUCUGACUGAGAGCACCGGACGCUCUGGGUGCGUCCAGUGGUGUGCGUCCGGUGUGGGGGGUUUUGCAACCCUCUCUGCGCAUGAGUCCGGUGCUCACCGGACCGUCCGGUGCCCAGAGUCCGGUGAUGUCGUGAGUUUGACAAACUCUCUGCGCACGAGACCGGUCAGUACCGGACGCGUCCGGUGCUCACUUAACCACGUCCGAUGGUUCGCAGGUAGCCGUUAGAAAUUGACGCGCGAGAUUCAACGGAGGAUACGUGGCCAACCCCAGAGCACCUGACGCAGGGGGUCGACCGUCCGGUGCUCACUUGGUAGCGUCCGGUGCCUCCGACUAUAGCCCAUGGAAAGUGGCCAACGACUAGUUCUUUGAGGGGGCUUAUAAAUAGUUGGUGGUCGGCUUUGGGAGGCUCACUAUUGCACAUUUGAUUACUUGAGACAUACAUUGAGCUAGAGAACACUCCUUCCACUCAUCUCCUUGCUUGAUUGCUAGUCCUAGUGAGAUUGAGUGAGAUUCAAGUGCAUUGCUUUGAGAGUUGCAUUUAGUGGCACUUGAUUCUUGAGUUUGCUGCAGAUUUCUUGUUACUCUUGGGUGUUUCCCGGCACCCUAGAUGGCUUGGAGCUGCGGUGGUGUUGAGCUCGUGAUUGGAGAUUGUUUCGAGCCUCGCCAAGUGAUUUGUGAGGGGUUCUUGAGCCUUCCCCGCGGGAGAUCGCAAUUGGCUACUCUAGUGGAUUGCUCGUGGCUUGGAGGAUCCCCAUCUUGUGAGUGGAUGUGUGGCACCCGCUGAGGGUUUGGCUUUGGAUUGCCAAUUAGCUCGUGAUCCAUCAAGUGGGUGUAUCGCCACAACGAGGACUAGCUUGCCAGGAAGCAAGUGAACCUCGGUAAAAAAUCUUGUGUCAUCUCUUGCCGAGGAUUCUCUUGUAAUUGUGAUUGAUUGAUUGGCUAUAUUUCUACUCUACAACGUUGAUAUAACAAUCACUCCCCUCUCCUUUACUUAUGUGCAUACCUUGCUAGUUGUAUAGCUUGUUUAGCUUAGCUAUCUUGUUUAGGAGUGUAGCAAGCUUCUAGUUGUGCUUUCUUGUUGUAACUAGUGUUUAACUUUCUUGCUAGACUUAUGUAGGUGGCUUGCAUAGCUUAGUUGUGCUAGUGCUAGAAUAUCUUCGCCUUUUAUUUUACUAAUCAACUUGUCUAGUUGAAGUUUGUAGAAAAUUUAAAUAGGUUAUUCACCCCUCCUCUAGCCAUUUGGACCUUUCAGGGUGACCACCAUUACCAUAGUUGUUGCCUCGCCCAUGUGCACGGCCUCCACGUCCACGACCACCAUCGCCAUGACUGAAACCGCCGCGGCCACCUCCUCGAGCAGCAGUGUUCGCCGAAGAGCCAGAGCCACCAUGAACAAGGUCCAUGCGUUGUUCCCAACUCACUAGCUGGGUGUAGAGGUCGCUGAGGGUGAGAGGCUCGACACAGGACGCCAUGGAGGACACGACAGGGUCAAAGGUGGUGUCGAUUCUAGUGAGGAUGUACGAGGCAAUUUCCUCGUCCUCCGGUUUCUUGCCGUCGGCAGCCAUGUUGUCGGCGAGGGCUUUCAUCUUGCUGAAGAAGUCGGCAAUCGUAGAUGAUCCCUUCUACGCAGUAGCUAGCGCCAUGCCCGUGUUUAUCACACAGCCACGAGACUGCGAAGCAGUCAUAUCCCAGAUCGUCUUCUAGAUCUCGGCGGCGGUGGUGUAGGUCGACACUUGGACCUGAACAUCGCUGGACACAAAGGAGAUCAAGUAAUUGAACACCUGCUGAUCCUUUGAAACUCACGUUGCGUAGUCGGGGUUGGGGAUGAGUUCGUCGGGCUUGUCAAUCGACUUGGGGAUCAGCUGGGUCGGCAUCGCCGCCGUCUCUGCGUCAUGGAGGUGCGCCAUCUGCGCACCAGAGAGAAAAAUUGUUUUUGGUGAGCUUCUCCGUGACCGGGCACCCUAUCAGAGAGUACGAUGCAAGAUGCACAGAAGAAGACGCCAUUGAUGAGUUUGUGGACUAACCUAGCUCUGAUUACCAUGUGAAGAUGGUUGUAACGUGAUCCUUCUCAGGGUUACGGCUCCAUGUUAAUAUAGCUGAGAAAAGACCCCGGCGUGGCACUUACAACUUGAUAGUCAAGGAAUGAAUCUAGACACUAAGAUACAACAGAUGGAUUACAACAAACUUCAACAACCUAGCAUUAUCUUAUGUUUUUUUUGAAGGGAAUCAGUAGGGAAAUCCCCUACCUAUAUUUUUUUUGUAUUUUAAUUGAAUAAAGGAAUGUACUGUACAAGAAGAAAAAAAGCAAAGCAGAAAUAAAUUACAAGGCCCAUAGACCCAAAAGAGAAAAAAAGCUCAGAGGAAACUAUCUCUCCAGACUGUUAGUGGGACUCUUCUCUUUUCGUUGGCCUUGAUGCACACCAAGUCCAAUUCAUCCUUGAGUCUACUUCUCCAGAGUGACAGGCUACAGGAUCCACUAUCAAAAAUGAUGGAAUUUCUCAAAGUCCAUAAAACCCAGCAACCAGUAAUGACUAUGGAGCCGUAACAACCUGCCUUGGUGAGGGGAUUAACACGCCACCAUUCAUGAUCUGAUGUCUUGCAUAUCAAGUAUUUCAACACUUGGGACGGUGAUGAGUCUGAUGGGGCUAGGGCUGGCGCGACAAGUGAAGGAAAAAAAAGAGAAAAUGAAUAAAUUAUAAUCUAGCAGGCAGUCCCCAUGUAUUAUUAUACAGAACUAUCUCUAAUAAUUCAAAAGGUGGCAUUGGACCAAUACGUUACCGCUUUACUAGAGAAUUUUAUGCUGCUAUAGAGAGAUUCUCGUAUACCCGAGCACUUAGCUCCACUACUGGCUUCCUCUAAGCCUAAUUUUGGAGACAAAAUACAUAAAAGUUAUGCAAACUCAUCCCAAAACAUUUGUAUGAAGUUCCUUGCUACAACAUUGUGAUACUAACUUAUGCAAAAUUAAAAGGGUUUGGAUUUAGUUGAAAUAAAAAAAAAACAUGGUACAGCAAGAUGGAGUCGGUCAUAAAUUAAAAAAAAACAUGUAAAAUGGUGGCCAGUGACGCGUGAGUGAGGAAAUUAAAAGGCCAGUCGUGCACAAGAAUUUGAAGAUUGGAUCAUAUAAAAGAGCCCACAGCUCUCCACCAGUUCACCUGAAUAUGGCAGGGCAGGACUAAAUCCGACAAGCGUGUAUGGCCUGUCGCGCCUGAUGCCAACUUAGGCUCAGGCCCAGGCUCAUGCCCGGCGCUUUUCGACUUUACCGUCUCCAAUAUCCUUGGGACAGAAGCCCACAGAAGCUUGGACCCCAUUGUUUAAGCAAUUAUUUUGACGUCUCCCUUCACAAUUUUGUCCACUCUACUACUAGUCUACGAUACCGUUUUCCAUUAAAAAACCUCCCUUCAUCCUAAAUUAACAAUCAAAGUCAAAGCAUCUUAAAUUUGAUUAAACUUAUAUAAUAAGAUAAUGAUAUUUAUGACAUCAAAUAAAUAUUAGCUUAGUAGGUUCUUUCUUAAUUAUGUUUUCAUUUAUAGUAUAUAUCUAUUUGAUGCCAUAAACUUUUGUAAUUUUCACUGUAUUUUUUUGUCAAACUUUAGAUACUUUAACUCCAAGAAAGUUAAAAUAAGUUAUAAUUUGGAAUGUAAUACUACACUGUUGUUAGAAUUAAAUGCUUGUAAGCUAAGCUAUUGUAACUUGUAAAACAAGUUGUACAUGCCAAGCUAGGGGCUGUUCUUAGCUAUAUAAACACGAAGCCAUGAGUUUGAGAGGGUAUCACUUUCCACCAAACUUUAAAUAGUAUUAGGGCUAGAGGUCUCGAGUUCGAAUUUUGACGAGCGUGAGUAAACAAAAUAACUGUAACCCGCUCCAAUUUCCACUUGCGGCCUAAGGGAGCAUGUACAUGAGGGGCAGUUUUGGAGUAUAAGUUAAUUGCCCAUAUUUUCCUAUUAGCUUAAGCUUUUGAGACGAAUUGGUUGGAGCAUGCAACUCAAUAUGGUAUAGCUUAAACAGUAGUUGCUCUCCUUCAUGAUUUUGAGAAGGAGAUCGCCAUCAAGAUAGGGUCUUGGUGAUUUGCACUAUUUUCUUGGAAUAGAAGGUAAGAAGAAAAAGGGUGAACUCUUGAUGACGCUAGAAAGAUAUGCAUGCAUGUGACAUUCUUCAACGUGUCAACAUGCAAGUUGUCUCUGGUGGAUGCAUGGGGAUAAAUUGUGACCGAAUGAUUCUGCUAAUUAUAGGAGUAAGUAUUGUCAGCAGGGCACUUGAAUAGUUGCAUGUUGACACAAAUAUAAUAUCUGGCCGAAUAAGGUAUCCACCAAACUUUACGGGUACCAAUUUGUGCUGCAUGGGGUGGCUUGUCUCCAAUAUUUGUGCGUUGCCUUUGCAGUGCCUUGCAUGCGUGAGUGCAUUCGCAUGCAUUGUCCUAGAAGCUAAGCUAAGACACGGUCAAAUUAACCAUUCCAUGUAUAGCCUGAGGCUAGGAAUCCGCCAGCUGUACAUUCGAGACCGUCAGCAAGGACCGGCCGGGUCGGAUCGCCGGGAGGCACAUGCAUGGCAAUAGCUAGCUGAAUCACAAGGGAGAGAGAGGGGACGUACGUACUUCUUGCUGCUUGCCGGCCGGCGACCAAGGAAGAAAUCGCGUCGUCCUGCUCUGAUUAGAACACAGCAGGUCUCGUCGUCGUCGUCGUCGGUGAAUCGAAGAAGGAGCGCUAGCUGCCGGCCGGCGGCAGGGGAGAGCGAUCGAGCAGAUCAUGUCUACGCUGCCAGGAGGCUUCCUGUCCGUGCGCGUCCUGCGAGGGAUCAACCUUGUCAGCUGCGACGCCAAGGGCAGUGACCCCUACGUCGUGAUCAGCCUGGAUGGCCAGGUACGUUACGUAUAGCUCUGCGAUCGACGCAACACUAGCUACUGCAUUGUUGUUCGUUGCUAGCUAGCUGCUCUGAUUCUUGUGUGUGCUUGCUUUGUCAAUUUGUCAUCGUCGCCAUGCAUAUAUAUGCAGAAACUGAAGACGAGUGUGAUGAAGAAGACGGUGAACCCAGUGUGGAACGAGGAUCUAACCUUGGCAGUCAUGGACGCGUCAGCACCCAUCAAGCUAGUGAGCACCGAUCAUCUGCUUGCAUAAUUCAUGCUGAAUGUCAUGCAUUCAAUUCAUUCAGUUCAUCACCAUCCCCGGCCUACUCGAUUGAUCGGAUCAUGCAUGAAAUGAAAUAAAUAAAAUAAAACAGGAGGUUUUCGACAAGGACACGUUCAGCAAGGACGACAUGAUGGGGGACGCGGAGUUCGACAUCGAGGCGCUGGUGCAGAUGAUACAGAUGGACCUGGAGGACAUCCGCAGCGGCACCGUCGUCCGCACCGUGCGCCCCGGCGGCAAGGACAGCUGCCUCGCCGACGAGAGCCACAUCAUCUGGGACAACGGACAGGUCGUCCAGGACAUCCUCCUCAAGCUCAGGAACGUCCACACCGGCGUCGUCCACCUGCAGCUCAAAUGGGUCACCAUCCCAGGUAAUAAACUAGCUAAUUAAUUAAACAUAUAUACAUAUAUAAGAUUACAUUUUUCUUUUAUUUUCUUUUGCAAUUGUAGAUUAAACACGUACCAGUUCUAACGAAUUCCCCUUCCUCGCCGUCUUCGACGAUCUGCAGACUGAAGAAAGUGAUCAUCAGCUGCUCCGAUCCCCGGCCAUGACGAACUCUCGUGAUAAUUAAACAGUGUAGUACUAUGCAAAAUUACAAUGUUGAAGAUGUCAUUGUAUUUUAGUAGAGCCACGUCCACGUACAUUGUCAAUUCGAUCUCACUGUAACUUUUGAUAUGGAAUUAAUUUAUCAAUCAGGCAAUUGCAUGACCAAGAAAUUUUGUUGUUGUGAAUGCCGGCGAGCGAACUGAGAUGCGGCUGCACGCAACGGAGAUGAGAUUGACAUUGGUAGGGCCGUCGUGGACAUGGGCUUCGUGGGUGGGAGUUUCCUUUCUGAAUCCAACAAGGCCCAAGGAAGACCAAACGGGUGUUAAGUUUGAGCCCGUAUAAGAGAGCUUACUUCCGAACGAAAGCCCAAUUAAUCUUCCUCUCGGCUCAGCUUGAGGGCACUCUUCUAUCCUCGAGAUUGGCCUCAUCUUGCCUCUACACAUCAAAAUAUAUUGUAAGGGAUAGGGAUGGCAACGGGGAAUUCUCCGUCGGAGGAUGGCUCUCCAUCUUCGUCCCCGCGGGCAUAAAAUUUUCCCGUCCCCGUCCCCGUUAAGACCGUCGGGGCUUGAGUUUGCCCCAUCCCCGUCCCCGAGCGGGGAAUUAAUCCCCGCGGGGAUCCCAUCCCCGUUUCAACGACAUAGCCAUAUUCCAUUGAAUAAAAGUGUAGGAGGAGAACAAAUUGAAUAUCAUGAAAUUCCAAUAGCUUCCAACACAAAAGUGAAACCAUUGCACAAGCACGUUGUACAUACAUCAGUAGUUCAACAAAUCUUACAUACAUCAUCGAACUCACAAAUGGAUCUAGCAGCACAUAGAUCUAGACGGCAGGAGCAUCAUUAUACAUACACCAAAUAAGAUAUCAAAGUUGUAUUUUGGAGACUGUGUUGUUGUCCUAAACGACUUCUAAAUCCUAUGUGGAGCGAGUAUAUAAAAAUUGUACGACCUAUUUCGAAGGGUAGUUUUAAUUGAGAUCAGACAUGUAGUUGCUCACUUAAUAUUGUGAUAUAAAUAUGAUAAUUAAGCGUAAUUAUAUCCCUAGGGCCUAUGACUAACUUGGUAGAAAAAAAUAAUAAUAUCUAUGACAUAAAAUACGUAUUUUAUAAAAAAAAUAUUCUAUAAUAAAUCUAUCGAUACUAAUUUAAAUCUUUAAUAUUUUUUUCUAAAAAAAUGAUUGAAGUUUUAAAAUUUAACUAAAGAUAAUUUUAGAAAUUGAUUUUUUUAUGGACGAAUGAAGUAGUAAAGAACUGCACCAACCCUUUAGCCGAGCCUACAGAGAUGCUAGGAGAAUUGUGGUUAUGAAAAAGAAAAUAAGGGAGUGGAGGGGGUGUCGUCGGCGUGGGCCACUUUCAACGCCGUGCGUGCACGUGCACGUGCACGUGCAGUGAAGACAGGCCAGCCGGGUAGGUAGCGGACGGACAGCGGUUGAGGACUUGAGGUUGAGGUGGUGAUCUGUGGGCCCCGCCGCCGGUGAUCUCCAGCCACCAGUUUCGCAGUGGUCCGGUUGAGCCGCGCGCCCGCAUUUAAGGCCGAUUAGAGAUCAAAAUUUUUUUUAUGUGUCGAAAUAAUGUCGGGAGGGGUUUUUAGAAACUAAUAAAAAAACAAAUUACAUAGUUCAUCAGGAAACUACAAGACAAAUCUAUUGAGCAUAAUUAAUCUAUCAUUAGCACAUGUGAGUUACUAGCACUUACAGGUAAUUAUGGAGUAACUAGGCUUAAAAGAUUCAUCUCACGUUUUUCAAUCAAACUGUGUAAUUAGUUUAUUUUUUUAUGUACAUUUAAUGUUCCAUGUAUGUGUCCAAAAAUUCGAUGGGAUGGAUAAAAAAAAUUUGGGUGGGAAACUAAACAGGGCCUUAUGACUAUCGUUUUUUUUUCUUUUCUUUUUUUACCUGCCUGUGUUGGGGUCGUAUGUCGAAAAUUACUGUUCGCUGAUUUAUUGUUUGAAAAAUACUGUUGAAUGACGGGUGGAUUCGACAUGUAAGCUCAAGCAAACAGGCUUAGUAGAUUUGUUAAUUUAUUGUGAGAGAAAAAUACGAUUCGCUGAUUUGUUACAUACAUCGACAGUUAGAUUACCCAACAACAUUUUGGUUUGUCACCGGUGAUAGGCUUGAGGCCUUGUUUAGUUCAUGAAUUUUUCUGAAUUUGGUUACCAUAGCAUUUUCGUUUUAUUUGGUGAUUAGUGUUCACAAAGGAUUUAUCUCGCAAAUUACAUACAAACUGUAUAAUGAAUUAUUUUUUUAUCUAUAUUUAAGAUUGAGGCAUGUUUAGUUCUCACCUAAAAACUUUCCCCAUCAUAUGAUUAUGUACAUACAUGUAUGGGGCAUUAAAUAUAAAUUAAAAACAAACUAAUUGUAUAAUUUGUAUGUAUUUUGUGAGAUGAAUUUUUUAAGCCUAAUUAGUUUGUAAAUGUACACUAACUUUUAUAGAUACAAAUAUGCGUACCAAAAACUUUUCUUGAGGACUUGUUUAGUUCCCAAAUUUUUUUUUGUUUUGGGAUACUGUAGCACUUUCGUUUUUAUUUGGCAAUUAUUAUCCAAUCAUAGACUAACUAUAUUUAAAAAAUUCAUCUCGCGAUUUACAGGCAAACUAUGCAAUUAGUUUGUGUUUUUUUAUCUAUAUUUAAUAUUCUAUACAUAUGCCGCAAGAUUCAAUAUGAUGCGGAAUCUUAAAAAAACCUUGGCUACUUUGGCCUUGUUUACUUGCACCAAAAAAUCCAAAAAUUUUCAAGAUUCUCCAUCACAUCGAAUCUUUAAACGCAUGCAUAGAGUAUUAAAUAUAGACGAAAAUAAAAACUAAUUACACAGUUUGGUCGAAAUUGACGAGACGAAUCUUUUGAACCUAGUUAGUCCAUGGUUGGACAAUGGGCUGCCACGAUGUCAACGACGGGUCCCACUGGCGAACGUGGACACAGGACGCGUGGCCAAUGGUGGAUGGGCCCGGCCUGGCAGUCACAGAUCCGUGGGCCUGACUCCGGUCAACCUGGCCGGCCGCGUUUGCGUCGCGCGGAAGCGGAAAUACGGAGGGAUUCCAUUCCCAUCCGGCACACGGUGGUGGCGGCGGCAACGCCCAACCACGACCUGCCCUCGCGGUGUUUUUUUUUUUUUUCUUUUUCCAGUCCAUCCUCUUACGCGUUGGCGUGCGUCCCCAACCAACCAAACAAGUCCCUUCCUUCCGCGACUCUUCUCUCUUCUCUUCUCUCGCAGGGGACCAAGGAGCAGGAGGAGGAGCUUCAGCCAUGGGCGGCGGCAACGGCCAGAAGUCCAAGAUGGCGCGGGAGAGGAACGCCGAGAAGAACAAGGGCUCCAAAGGCACGUCUAUCCCCAUCCAUCCCCCCGAUUCCCCCUCCCUUGCUCACAAAUCCAAUCCCCAUUCGAUCUGAUUCCUGUCCAUCGAUUUCCUCUCUGUAUUUGCUUGCAGGCAGUCAGCUGGAGACAAACAAGAAGGCCAUGAACAUCCAGGUGCGUACCCAGUCGUCACCGCCGCUCGAGCCCUCCCGAUCUGUCUCUUUACAGUCCUCUUGUUUGCUUGAAAUUCGGGGGUUUCCCUUCCCGGAUUCAGGCUGCUCCAUCUGGAUUCGGCGCAACCAGUGGCCAGCCCACGACGCGGCGCGAUUCUCAUCCAUUCCCUCUCUUGCUGCUCUGCUCCUCUUUACUGCAACCUGUAGAUAGCAGUGGAAUGGUCACUGUAUUACUACUUUUGAUGAUUUUGUUAUUGUUUUGCACCUAGGAUAGGAUUAGGGUUUACGAACCUUGCUUUGCUUUGCUUGCUUCAACUCCCAGCUUGGGAGCUGCCGAGGUGCCCCCUCACCCUCUGUAAUGUCAAACGCUGCAUUUGAUUCCUCCCUAGAUACAAAGGGGCCAGGCAGGGGAUUCAAUCCAACACGUCGUCUUCCAUGUUGGGGGUGGCAGGGGGGAGGAGAAAUUCAGCCCUGCACACCACCCACACUUUUACUUACCUGCCACUUGCUUGCAAUUCAUACUAGAUCUCCUACGGUUCCGAAAGCCACAUCUGUAGGUUCGAAUUGGCUGCUGCUGCAGCAGCAGCAGCAGCACCUGCAGAUAAAUGGCCAUCACAUCUCUGUUAAAAGAAAAAACAAGAUAGCGUCGAUGAGUCUAGUCAAUGGGUGAUAAUGUGUCACUCUUGUUCAGGAACAUCAGCAGAUACCCCGGACUCUGGAGGGACAAUAGAAUCACUACUGAAACCUGUUGUGUGAAUUGCUAGUUACUAGCUGCCAUUUCUCUCAUUGGCCAAAUGUAUGUACCCAGAAUUUUUGAACUUGAACAAUGUUUGUUUGUGUAGUUGUGGUCUGGUAUUUCAGUUCUCAUCAGUUGGUCAUCUGAAAAAUGCUUACAUCCAAAUGCACUAACCAUGCUUCCUUCUGAACGCAGUGCAAGAUCUGUAUGCAGACUUUUAUCUGCACCACCUCUGAGGCCAAGUGCAAAGAGCAUGCCGAGGCGAGGCAUCCCAAGAAUGACCUCUACCAGUGCUUCCCCCACCUCAAGAAUUAGUAAGCAGCAGCAUAUGCUUCCUCAGACAAGGGGCAUAUGCUCAGCUCAACAAAGAGAGAAAAGUGUCGUCAUCCACCAAGUACUGUCGUCUUCAUCAGUGACUGGUUGCCAUAUACUAUGUGUCAAUGGGUCUCAGCUGCUGUUGCUGUUGCUGCAGCUGCUUUCGGUUGUGUUGCCCCAUCUAAAUAUGUAAUGUAAUCCUUCGCUGUCAGCCUGUUGUGCUAAAAACAUUAAUUCUGUGUGGGCUAAGAACAUUAAUUCUGUGUGGAUUUGUGAUGCCUGUCUGUGCUUGCUCAGUAUUUUCUUUUCCCUCUGUUCUUUGGUGUGAAUUUGGGACCUUACAGGGAGCCAUUUAUGUCUCUCUUUUUUUCCCCUCAAAGAACGUAGAACUGCCAUUUAUCUCUGUUCUUUUUUCUUUCCCUGUGUUCUUAGGUGUGAAUUUGGGAACAACAUAGAACGUGUCUUUUCAAAGAUCAUUAAGAAAGAAGGGA